AACGAACGCUGGCGGCAUGCCUAACACAUGCAAGUCGAACGAAGGCUUCGGCCUUAGUGGCGCACGGGUGCGUAACGCGUGGGAAUCUGCCCUUUGCUUCGGAAUAACAGUCAGAAAUGACUGCUAAUACCGGAUGAUGUCGCAAGACCAAAGAUUUAUCGGCAAAGGAUGAGCCCGCGUAGGAUUAGCUAGUUGGUGGGGUAAAGGCCUACCAAGGCGACGAUCCUUAGCUGGUCUGAGAGGAUGAUCAGCCACACUGGGACUGAGACACGGCCCAGACUCCUACGGGAGGCAGCAGUGGGGAAUAUUGGACAAUGGGCGAAAGCCUGAUCCAGCAAUGCCGCGUGAGUGAUGAAGGCCUUAGGGUUGUAAAGCUCUUUUACCCGGGAUGAUAAUGACAGUACCGGGAGAAUAAGCUCCGGCUAACUCCGUG
rnacentral:rRNA from 1 species